CUUUACAAGCCUUUACAAUGAACUCUGUAGUUUAUUAUUUAUAAUUGUUCUUAUGUCCUUUUCAUUUGCUAUUAUCCCUAACUGAGCCCCAUUUAUUGUAUAAGAGGUUGUGGGUUUCUUAUUCAAAAAUUGCAUAUCUUUGCAUGUGUCUAUAUUGAAGUUAUAUCACGUUCAGACUGUAUUACCUUACCUAGCUUUGUGUCAUUUGCAAAGACCAACACAUGACUUGCAAUGCUCACUUCUGG